GUAGUCGUGGCCGAGUGGUUAAGGUGAUGGACUUGAAAUCCAUUGGGGUCUCCCUGUGCAGGUUUGAAUCCUGCCGACUACG
rnacentral:tRNA from 2 species